AUUGAACGCUGGCGGCAUGCCUUACACAUGCAAGUCGAACGGCAGCGGGGGAGAAGCUUGCUCUUCCUGCCGGCGAGUGGCGAACGGGUGAGUAAUACAUCGGAACGUGCCCUGUAAUGGGGGAUAACUAGUCGAAAGAUUAGCUAAUACCGCAUACGACCUGAGGGUGAAAGUGGGGGACCGCAAGGCCUCAUGCUAUAGGAGCGGCCGAUGUCUGAUUAGCUAGUUGGUGGGUAAAGGCCUACCAAGGCGACGAUCAGUAGCUGGUCUGAGAGGACGAUCAGCCACCCUGGGACUGAGACACGGCCCAGACUCCUACGGGAGGCAGCAGUGGGGAAUUUUGGACAAUGGGCGAAAGCCUGAUCCAGCAAUGCCGCGUGUGUGAAGAAGGCCUUCGGGUUGUAAAGCACUUUUGUCCGGAAAGAAAUGGCUCUGGUUAAUACCUGGGGUCGAUGACGGUACCGGAAGAAUAAGGACCGGCUAACUACGUGCCAGCCGCCGCAGUAA
rnacentral:rRNA from 1 species